ACCAAGAAGGACACAAUUUCAGAGAUCAGUGCUCAAGAGAACUGUCUGCCAUUGCAGUCCAGACCUGCUCUGUCUGCAUGUUCCUCAGCAAAUGAUAAGAUGAGAAAUUCCAAUCCUGAGAAGACUGCAUGGGUCACCCCUAUGUCUCGUCAGUCAGAGCCUCUGAAGGAUGACAGCAACAACAGCAGUUCUGGGCAGAGUUCUUCGUCUGGAAAUACUGAUGACGAGCAUGCAUGUGUACCUAAAUUAAGAAGGACUAGAAGUAUUCUAGUAAGUAUAUCAUAUUCAUUCCAAAGCAGAUAAAUUUCAUUAGAAUA
ensembl:lncRNA